UCCAUUUGGUCUGACUCUACCUAAUGAAACUGAGACUUGUGCUGUGAUGUUAAAGCCCGGUUUCCAGAAAGGACUUUUGAACAUUCUGCUGACACACGGCAUCUCUUCAGAGGCGUUGGAGCGCAGCUACAGGACGACUGACAGACUGGCAGGCCGCUCUCUGUUUUUUUCCCCCAGGAGGAAACUUGUCCCUAAGUCAAAUUAGAUCCGCUGACAUCUCCUCGGCUCUGCCUUCUUCUCGCGGUGUGUGUGGCUGAGCCUGCCGAACAUCUGAAGCCUCAGAUGACGAGUCGUGGGAACUGUGGAGGAAACUGUGGAGGAAACUGUGCCACGCUCCGUCACAGAUGGCACCGCCAAACGCUUCUGAGAACAUCAUGCUCUGCCGAGGAAGCGUCAAAUUGAAUUUGUCGGAGGAAAACAGAUUCCUACCUGCAGUAAAGGAAGCUGAAGAUAAAACAUCCCAGCAUGCAUUCUGACUUCUGGAUCGUUCCUGACAGCAUGCAGAGAGCUGGCACACGGCUGUCCUCUCCUCCACCCACAGUCCUGUCUCACACGAGCUGAGGGGUAACAAGCGUGUCCAGGGUGAGGAUGAGCCCCGGUGGGCCGACAGCCUCCCCCUUUGUCUCCCCCCAGAGCCCAGAUGCCUCCAUUCGCCUCUCCGGUUUGUAGGAAUGACCACAUCGGCAUCAGAGGAAUGGCACCAGGAAUGCUUUUGUGUUUGUUCAGUUUAGCCUCCCACAUG